CAAGGUAAUUCAAAGACAGCGUUUAUUUCUUCAGAGUUGAGAGAGCUAGAAAACUAAAGGACAGGAAGGCUGAGAUACUUCUGAGCAUGAGGUAGCUGCACAACGGUGAAGACAAGGAAGAGAAGCCUGUGUCUCCUACCUCAGUGUCCUCUUUUAGCCAGUACACUGAAGUGCUGUACAUGAACUCUUUCCUAGGGAGAGUUGAGUGGAGUUUUGACAACCAAAUCCCACUCUUGGAGCUUGUCAUCUAAGUUUCCACAUGCAGCAUUUGAACUUG
rnacentral:lncRNA from 1 species